rnacentral:lncRNA from 1 species
GUUUAGUGUUUAGGGUUUAGAGUUGAUGUUUCGGGGUUUAGGGUUUAGAGUUGAUGUUUCAUUGUUUAGGGUUUAGAGUUGAUGAUUUAGGGUUUAAAGUUGAUGUUUUAGGUUUAGAUUUAGGGUUUAGGGUUUACGUUUAGGGUUUAGAGUUGAUGUUUUAGAGUUUAGAUUUGAAAGUUUAGGGUUUAGGGUUUAGGGUUUAGAGUUGAUGUUUUAAGUUUAGAUUAGUUAUUUUUUGUCAAAGUUAAUCAAAAUGUUAUAAAUGUCUUUUACCCUUCAUUAAAGAUGAGGAUAAAAGUGGUUAGUGUAAACAUGAAAAGUGGUACUUUGAAAAUGGUAUUUUUGGCAAUUUCCCAAUAAAAUACCCCUUAAUUUUUUAACUUAUUUACGAUAGCAUGUCACUGAAAUUAUUAAUUAACUUACCUUUUAUGAUUCUUUGUCUUUUCUUCUUUAUUUAAUGUAUUUCAUUUAUUUAUAAAAAAUAAAAAUAAACAUCCGCGCUGGCGCGCGGAUCAAGCUCUAGUUCAACAAUUAAAAGUUUUGUUUUUGUUCCUUUCGAUCUACAUAUUUUGUUGUCAUACUAUUAUGCUACACGAUUUUUGUGUGUGGUAAAAUGUUAAGAUUUAUCACGCGAUUAAUCGUAUACUAGUGGUGAAUGCAAAUAUCUUAGAGAAAAUCAUGAGUAUGAUCCACAAAAGAACUUUAAUUUGACGAUCAAAUCAACAUUGCUCCAGAUUUUUCAGCGUAUUAAACGAAAAAUAAUUUAAUAAAAACCAAAAAGUAAAAUGGUAAAAAAUGAUUAUUGAAUUUAUACUAUUAUUUGCAAAAUGAUUUUUUACUGAGUUUUCACUUUAAAAGUUAAAGUGGCUCGUGACUAAGUUUUUAGUGGUCUUAAUGAAUAAUUAGAUCUUGGUAAUAUAUAAUUACUUGGUACCUGUUCGGAACUACGCUAGGCGCUAGUCGGUUGGUGAUCCCGGGCCUAUCGAGUUACCGAAAAAUCGGGGAUUAAUCAGGGUAUACGCGGAGAUUAGUUUUUAUUAAUUUUUAAUUAUAAAUAUAUGUAUAUAUAUUAAUACAUGUGAAAAUUAGACAAUGGAACAACGUAGGCCAGUCGUACGAGAGUCAUUUGUUGCGGAUAGAGGUCCAGGGUACGAUUUUCUUGUUUUUAACUGCGCGAGACAGGAAAAAAAAAAUUUAGAAACCAACUGCAUUUGUCCCACAUCGACUAAUUUUACUCUAGGAGGCAUCUUGAGUCUUCCAUAAAUACAAGGAGAAAGUCUCCACUCUUUACUGGGCCUCUUCCAUGGCCCAAUUAUUUGUCACCAGAGUCCAAAGUUAAUUGAAUAAAUCGGUUUAUGUCCGAGUAGUCGGCGAUUAAUCGGUUUUUUAGACGAUUAAUUGGGUCUCCGAUCAGUUAAACCGAUUAGGGUAAAAUCGAGGCGGACCAAGUUGGUAUUAUGCCGUGGUAAGCUAAAGGGGGUAGGGUAUCUCUCUCGAAAAUAAUCUUCCCUCGACCACAAUCAAGGUGAGCUUGGUACCUUGACAGUCAAUCCAUCCCUAAAAUUACCUCGUACCUCUCUAAUGGGAGAACUAACAAAUGAGCCGGGAAAACCAUAUCUUGGAUAAUGAUUGGAACUCUUAGAAUGCAGCAUUCAGUUUCAACAUGACACAGCUGGCUACAAGUGAAACAAGUCGGGGUUCUAGGUCUAGGACCUCCAGAACGACCUCCCCGAAAAACUCUACCUCCUCGUCCUCGCGGCAUAGCAGAAUGUGGCUGAGGCUGACUUUGAACAGAUGGACGUCUAGGUGGUGUCGAAUGUCUAGAAGAAGCUCUAUCAGCAGCAAUGGCCUCCUCAACGUUCACAGCACGCUCAACAAGAUCAGCAAGCCAAUGAAACUCUACGGCCUCAAGUUUGCUCCUGAUAUAUGGGUUAAGUCCUCGAAGGAACUUACGGAUAAUCAUCAGCUCGUCCUCCCGACCAUAGUGGACAUACUUCAUGAGACGGGUGAACUCUGCCUCAUACUUCCUAACAGAGAAUCCGCCCUGAACUAGCGCCAUGAACUUAAUCUCCAAUCGAUCACGGGCCUCCGGUGGGAAGUACUUUCAAACGAACGCUGUACGGAAGUCAUCCCAACUCAGAUCGAAGUUUCAAAAGUUCCUCUCUACGCAUAACCACCAACUGAUGGUGUCCUUCUCUAGAUAGUAAACAGCCAUGUGCUUCUUGAAUUCUUCCGGACAACGAGUUGCAGCAAAGUUCUGCUCGAGAUUGUGCAGCCACGCAUCAGCUUCAAAGGGAUCAGUGCCUCCCUGGUAAUGCUUUGUCCCCAAGUUCUUCGUAAUCAUGACUAUCUUCAGGAAGUCCGAAUGAGAAGUGGUAGGUACUGGAGCUGGCUGAGCACACUAUGUAUCACGUUGUGCAUUCGGUGCUUGAUGUUUCAAAUUCACCAUCUCAGCCAUCAGUUCUAGAAGUGCUACUAUAGCUGGAUCUGUCGGCAGUGGUUCAGGUUGUGCUGCCGGAAUAGGUGCGGUAGGGGCUGGUGGAAUAUGAGCGGCAUGAGAUGCAGGAGCUGCGGGAUGAUCUCCGUGCACUGGACUAUCGUGUACCACAUCCACCUCGAUGUCCAAAAAGUACGUGUCUGGAGACAGUGGCAUGUGCACCGGUGUCUAAUUAUAUGACCCUUCAGACGGGUCAGUCUCAAAGCUAAAGCCCGAAGGUGUAGCCUCAAAGCUAGAGCCCGAAGGUGUAGCCUCAAAGCUAGGAGUCGGAAGUGGUGCCGGAGUAGAUAUCGGUAGAUAAGCUCUACCACGAUGUGCCUGUCUCGGUGGCAUCUGCUAUGAAAGAUCAUGGUAAGUUUCUACCCAGGUCUAUCUAUUUCUAAAAGAAGGAACAAACCAGCAUAUCCUAAUUAUCCUUGCGACACAUUUUUGACUCGAAUUUUUUUUUGAAACAAGUCCCAUUCUAGCAUCGUAUAACAAUGAUCUGAUACCACAUUUGUGACACCCCCGAUCGUAGAUAACCAGAAAUGUCACGGUCGAUGUUCCCUGAUGGUCGACCCGAGGUUCUCGAAAUAAAUCCGAUCGCCUUAGACCAACAACCAAAGAACACAGACGCUCCUAUCGGAUAUUACCCUAGGCUUUUCAACCCUAUAAACAAAUAUUUGAUAGUUAGUUCGUCUCGGACAAGGACUAAUAUCAUAUGAAAACUCGUGAUUUAUAAACAUCUUUUAUACAUUAUUUAUUUACUUUAAACAUCUUACAAAGUGUUAUAGUUUAAUCCUACGGUCUAUCGCCCAACAACGUUUUAAGUAAAUAUACAUCAAAAGGUACGUUGCAAGGACAACAAAAUACUACCGCUGGUUGGCCGUUUCUUCCGUCCAAAAGAGUAAAGUGUCUCCCGCCUAAGGGUUACCUGCACACACUAAUGAGUCAUGAGCAACUAGUUUACUCAGUGAAUCUAGAAUCACAACACAAUCAAUGAUAUAUCAACAAUUAUGGAAUGCAUAAACAUGAUCAUGCAAGUACUAGUACUAUACUUUAGUAUAUCAAUCAUCAUUGUGAAUUCUUAUUUUAAACAUCACUUCCACAACACCCGCCCAUUACCAUACUCAUAUAAUACAAUAUAUAUCCUAGACCUGAAAAACCACUAAGGCUAACUGAGACUAGUGAGUUAGCAUCACCAUCAUUGUCGAAUGUCCGGUAUAAACAAUUCGACACUGCAUCGUCAUGCAGUACACGGUCUCCAGGGAGCUACCCCAUCAUCGUGUCUUCAUGACCUUGUUCCGUUCGCAGGACCAAGUCAUGGUAAUGCGGGGACUUUAGGGAUAGUGAAUAUAACAAGACUUCACAUGAUUUUACUUCCAUAAUUAUUCCAAAAUUAAUCCAUAAUUAAUCAUAAUUAAUCUUUAAUUAAUCCCAUAUCAAUCAUUAAUUAAUCUCAUAUUAAUCUUUAAUUAAUCCAAGAUUAAUCUUUAAUUAAACCAAGAUUAAUCCUUAAUCAAAACAAUGAUUAUUUCAUUAGUACUUGAGAACAAGUAUUAUGAUUAGGAUUAACCUCACUUUAACAUUUUGAUUAAUCUUUAAGUGUAAGUGUUACACUAAGUAAACACCAUACACUUCUUAAAGGAUUCAAAGACUUUACUAUCUAAUUGAGAUACUACAGUUUAAACUCAAUCAUGUACUCAUUCAUGAUCUAUCUCAUCUUCUGCCUAGACUCUCCUAAAGAACAGUCUUGAAACUGGCUUGGACAAGACUUGAGUUCCUCUUGAACAAAGCUGAAUGGACCAAGAGACUGAAUGGACAGGACUGGAUACUUCAAGCUUUACUCUACCUCUGACCAAGACAAACCAAAGGACUAGAUGGCCUCAGCUGAUCCUCUUCUCCAAGGUAAGCUUGCGGCUGGACUUCUGAUCUUUCUCAGAGCAACACUGAGCUAGGGUGGAAGAUUAAAUCACCAGCAAUUUUUCUUGAUUUAUUUUCCUGAUUUUUUUUACUGAUUUUUCUGUUCUUGUUCUGCUUUCUCUCUUUCUCUCUGAAAUUCUUUAGGUUUUUCUGUAAGUUUCAGAGCGUGGGAAGCAUCUGGAGGAGAGGUUUAUAUAUUUCAGAUGGUCUUUGGAUGAGUGUCCAGCUGAGGGACCAAAGAAGGGUAAGAAGAGACAGCUAGCAAGCUGCUACCGCAUCUGCACUAUGCUGUCCUUUCCCUCCCAUGAAACAGUUUCCAGCCAAUUAUAAUAAUCAGGAAGAGGGAGCAAGCACACAUGCAGCUUAUGAUUGUCAUGUGCCAUGUACUGAAGAAGCUAGAUAAGCAAGUAGGUGCAAUUCAUGUGAUUAAAUACUGAGCAAGCAGGCUGGUGGAAGACAUGAGUCUGGUCCAAAAUUAAUUAGGCAGCUGGUCGAUCAUUUUAAAUAAUUUUUCAACCAAAUAUUCCUUGUCUUUGGCUCUCGUCUUCCUCUCGGAAAAUCUCAUCCAGCUUAAUAAAAAUUCGACCAAAAUAUUUAAGACUCGACCAAACUAUCAAGUGAAGGUUUUUCGACCACAAGGCAGUCCCGUCGAAAAAUUAAUCUACCGAUAGAUUUUUAUUUUUAUUAAUCCUGAUCGAACCAACUAAAAACUGGUCGAACGAGAUUUUUCUUAUUGGCUCGUGAGGGUUAUUACAAUGAUCAUCUUGACUUCUGUAUGGAUAUGGUGUGGCUGCGAGCGGACACGAGUGACGCCUAAUUCUUAAGCUGUGUAACUUUUCUAUUAUCAAUGCAUCAACUAUUUUCUUACAAAAUGAUGAAUUUAUAGAUUAGUAAGCAAUAGUAUAGCAUAUGUAUUGAUAUUGUGACGCUGCAAUGAUUUUUUAUCAUUCAACAAUUAAAAGUUUAGUUUUUAUUCCUUUCGAUUUACAUAUUUUGUUACAUGAUUUUUGUGUGUGGUAAAAUGUCAAGAUUUAUCACGCGAUUAAUAGUAUACUAAUGGUGAAUGUGUUAUAAAUCAAGUGAUGAAUGUCCAUAACCGGUCUGGUCCAUAACGGGCCCAAACCCUAGAAGAAAGAGACAUAGCUGAAACCCUAGAGAGAGGAGAGAGAGAUGGCCGCAUGCCUUAGGAGAGAGAGAGAGAGAGGCGGCUUAUGCUUUGGAGAAAAGAAAACUCUAUUUUCAUUUUCUUGUAAUUGUUAUCUUUCCAUUAUUAUUAUGUAUUAGUAGGUUUCCUAAUCAUAGUUGGUUUAGGUUUUUGGAUACUUUCUUUUUUCUAUGACUUGUAAUCCUUAUAUAAAGGAACUCAUGUUAUCUACUAAUAAUAGCAAUCCCAAUUAAUUCAAAAAGUUGUGAAUUCCACUUAUUUUGAAAGGUUGUGUCUUUUCAACAACUAAAAGUUGUGCCUUUUUAUUUAAAAAUAUCUAUUUAUAUUGAAAGAAUGUGACCAUUUAUAUUGAAAAGUUGUGACUCUUUAUAUAAGUAUUAUUACAAAAAGACACAACCUUUUAAUUCAAAAGAUGUGACUCUUCAAACAAAUUUUUGAAAAUCUAUAAAUAGUCCAAUGUAUAUGCCUUCUAAAGGCAUAAUUUUCACUAAUCAAGUAAAAUGGUGAAGAAAAAAAAAUUAAUAAUAGCAAACCCAAACAAUGUUGAAAAGUUGUAUGUUUUAUAAGAAUUUUAUUUCUUGUUAAAAGUUGUGUCUUUUCAUUAUAUAUUAAGAUAUGUCCUUUCAUUAUUUGUUUCAAGAGUUGUGUAUUAGUUAGUAUUUAAAUUAAAAAGAUGUAAUUAUUUAAAUGAAAAAUUGUGACUAUUCAUAUAUGUAUCAUUUCAAAAUAACUACCUUUUUUACAUGUAUAUAAAGUGAAAAUAUAUCAGGCCAUAUAUGUGAGCAUAGAUAUUCCCAUCUCAGAUUGAAUACGGGUCAUAAACUAGACAUACACCAUCUUAAGAGACUUUGAAUAAACCACCACAGACAUAUGUGCCGUCUAAGAUGGAACCUCAGAAGAGGAUUGGGAAUAUAUGUUGGAUAAGAGUAUGACUUUCUCCCAUGAAUCACAUCAUGUUUGCAUCCCUUAGUUUAUAACGUGUUCGUACCUCUUAGGUUAUGAAUCGUUCGUACUUUUUCGUUGACGACCCAACAGUCUAACGUAAACUAUACAUUUUUUAUUUAAAAAGAUUUUUAUGUUUAGUAAGAGAUUUUAUUUAUUUAUUAUAAAUUGAUAUAACUUAAAAUUUUAGAGUAACUUACCUAAAAUAAUAAAAAAUAUAUAAUUUUAUUAGUAUUGAUGUAUUUGUAUUUUAGUUGUAAUUUUAAAUUAUAGAAUAUACAUUUUUAAUAUUAUCUACAAGUAAAUAUAAACACAUAUGUUCUACGUUUUGACAUGAUAAUUUUUGAAAUUAAAAUUAUUUAUUUAUAUAAUAUAUAAAUUAUAAUAUGAUAUAUUUAUUUAUAAAAAUGAGUUCCCACGCGAUAUCGCGUGGGUUCCUUACCUAGUGAUUAAUAAUACAAAGAGAAACAUUCAGUUCUCAACCUUCUAAUUACAACACGUUAUCAGCACGAUUGUUCUCUGCAAUCUAAGCUAAAAUCGCCAAUCCCUUAAACCUAACCUAGCUGGCGACUUUAACCUAAUCCCGACGAACCCUAAUUCGUCCUAGCUCGCGUUCCAGCUCGUCAGCAACCGAUCAACUCCAUCCCUAAGGUGUUCCUGAUCCUAGACGACCUCAGCUUUCGUUCGCAUCACAGCCAGCUCGUGUUCCCGAUCAACCAGCUCGCAAUCCCGAUCAGCCGCUUGCAAACCCGAUAGGAAGCAGACGUGUCCCGUCCCGUUCAGAUCGCAUCCGACGGCAGCCAGCUCACGUCCGUCCGUGUGCAGGUCGAGGUUCAUCCGUUCUCUUUGGUGAUCCGGUUUCAUCCCUACAAACAAAGGUAUACCGAUUAAUCUAAGAACAUAAUGAUCAAACCCUAAAACCCUAAUCCAUUAUUAUGGAAAUCCAAUAUUCUUGAUAAACCCUAAAAAUUGGUAUAACCUAAAACUGAUCAUCUUAUAAUCACUAGAUUGAAAUUGAUUCCAUUAGAACAUGUUGAUUGAUUGUUCUGAUCUGAAUUAUGAAAACCCUAAAUCUGGGAAUCGAAAACCCUAAAACCCUAAAGCUUGAAAUCGAUUUUAAAUUGUUCUUGCUUGAUUGAAUGAUUGAUGAUUUGAGUUUUAAGAUUAAUAGAUUGAUUGAAUUUCGAAACUAAAAUCUUAAGGUCUUGAAACCUUGAUCUCAUAUUACUAAAAUCGAAUUCUAGUAUUGCUUGAAUCAAAACUCUAAUUUUCAUAAUAAGAAACCGAUUGAUUAGGGUUGUUUGCAUAAACAUAUAAAACUGAAUAUGAAUUGCAUUCGUCUUGUUUUAAAAUAUCGACCAGCAUGACAUAUAGAUCGUAUAAACUUGAAUAGUUUGCAUCAUAGAAUUGUAUGGCCGUGCGGCCUAAUAUAGAAUCUAUGAUUGAUCGCACCAUGGUCGUUUUAGAUUGUUUGAAAACAUGAUUGUAUAAGACUUGCUUGUGGCCGAGAUUAUUGAUUGUCUUGCGGCCACAUGAUCACAUUGUGAAACCCUAAACUUCGAAUGAUAAUGUGAUUCUGAUGUCGAAAAUCUCAAACCUAGACUAUGCUGCCCUUAAUCUCUCCGGAGACAACUAUCUGCAAUGGGCACUUGACACAAAGAUUAACUUGAGGUCAAAGGAGCUCGGUGAUGCUAUCAUCGAGGGCAACAAUGAGACUGAUAAGAAUCGGUACAGGGCUAUAAGUAUUAUACGCCACCAUCUCAUUGAGGGUCUAAAAGAUCAGUACCUCACCAUAGAGAAUCCACUAGACCUUUGGACAGCUUUACAGCGACGAUAUGAUCACCAGAAAACGGUGCUAUUACCAAAGGCUAAACAUGAGUGGACGAAUCUCAGAUUCAUGGACUAUAAGUAUGUGGAUGAAUACAAUUCAGUAUUGUUUAAGAUAGUCUCAAUGAUGAGACUUUGUGGUGAGGAAGUAACCGAGAAAGAGUUGCUUGAUAAAACAUUCUCCACGUUCCAUUCGACGAACGUGUUGCUGCAACAGCAGUAUAGAGAGAGAGGCUUCGUCUCAUACACUGAUCUGAUCUCGUGCCUACUCCUGGCCGAGGCUAAUAAUGAACUCCUGAUGAAGAACUGUGAGAUGAGACCCAUCGGAACAGCAGCAUUACCAGAAGCCAAUGAGGCUGAAAAGAAAGAUCCCAAAGAAUGCAACCACGUCCAUGAUGAUAAGAUAUCACACGGCAAAGGCGUAGUAGAUACAAAGGGCGUGGCUGUGACAACUACUCAUAUGGCCGGCAAGGAAACCACAAUAACCGUGGUCGUGGUUCCAGCUAUGGCCGUGGCCGAGGCAGUUAUGGCCAUGGUCGAGGCGGCAUAUCCAAAACGUCUAACUCGACCAAAUCAGCUUGUCACAGAUGCGAGAUGAGUAACCAUUGGGGCAAGAAUUGUAGAACCCCUGAACAUCUAUGUGAGCUCUAUCAAGAGAGCCUUAAGAACAAGAACCCGGAAGCCCAUAUGGUUCAUGAUACCGGGUAUGAUGCUGAUGAUGAUUCCGACCUUGAAAAGGACGACCUCUUGGAUUUUGAGACUUCUGAUUGUCUCAAAGACUAAAAUCGACAUCUUGUCUUAUUGUUUUAUGAAAUGCUUUGAGUUCAUUGCUAUUAUAUCUUGCCUGAUUUUGCUUGAUAAUGUGAAUGAUUUUAUUGAUAAAGAAAUUGCCUAAAGGGCAUUAUAGUACGGGUAUAGUAGCCUAGUAAGAAAUCUAUGGCCAAGGCAUUGCCUAAAGGGCAUUAUAUACACCCAAGAAUGUAUGACCCAUUGAGUUAUAAUAAAAUGGUUUCCAAAUAGAAACAAUGGGCAAAAGGAAACAAGUUCCUUCAGAUUUAAGGAAAGAAAACGCCUAAGACCUUAUAAGAAAGUGGUCAAGACUAUACCUACGUACUCUACUGAUCAAAACUAUGCUACAGAUCAGUAUGAUAAGAGGCAAGAGCCGUGGUGACCAUACUGAUAUAUCCCACGAAAUUAUAUAAAUUAUACACUUUAUGGCAAGACCGGAUUAGCCAUCCUAGUCUAAACUUGAUGCAAAGAUUGAUAUUGAGAAGGCACAAAGAGUUAUCCCAUAAGAUCUCAUGUUAUGAAACAUGUACACAAAGGGAAACUCAUUAGGCUUUAUUGUCCUACAUCACGAAAAUAUAGUAUGUUCAUGAAGGGGAGAGAUGAUAAACCCGUGAUAUAUGAUCAAUACUACAAAUUCGUGAACAAAUUCGUGAACGAUGGUCUAUGACCAUGAUAUAAACGGCUUGGCCGUGCAGUCCAUUACCUUAUAAGGAUCAGACAUCCAUCCUAAAGCUUAGGGACAUCAUGGUUUUACAUGUAUAUAAAGUGAAAAUAUAUCAGGCCAUAUAUGUGAGCAUAGAUAUUCCCAUCUCAGAUUGAAUACGGGUCAUAAACUAGACAUACACCAUCUUAAGAGACUUUGAAUAAACCACCACAGACAUAUGUGCCGUCUAAGAUGGAACCUCAGAAGAGGAUUGGGAAUAUAUGUUGGAUAAGAGUAUGACUUUCUCCCACUACUUCUAAGAGACCUUGAGCCAAAUAUGGGUGAUCAGAAAGUGGCCAGGUACACGGAUUGCAUGAUCAAUGAAUCCGACUAUCCAACAUUAAAAGGAGAAAGCUAUAAGCUGGUAAAGAGUAAAGAAUGAUAAGAAACAGAAUGGUAUCAACCAUCAUUGUCUUGGCAAAGAUCCUCGGAUUAGAAUUAUAGACGUCCAAAGAAAGAAAAGAUUAUACAUAGCUAGCUAAUCAAGAUGCCAGACACUGACCCGAAAAGAAAAGAAAAGAAUGACUAAGUCAUAACCAGCUUAGCACCAAACGAAAUCUGAUGUCCUAGAAAGAGACACAGUCAAGUUGCUACAGAGUCUAUACAAGAUAGACCAAAGUGUUCCAUAAGAUAAGGAACCUCGGAAAGAAAAAGAGAAAGGUGCAUAGAAUACAAAUCCGAGGUCAUAAGGAAACCAGACCAGACAUUGAGAAAAGGCUGCGCAGCUAAACAUCUAAGGUACCAAACCAUGUAGUUUGGGACGCCAAGCUACUAGGUAACAAAGGUCCUGGAUAAUGAAAUCUCAAAUCGAUUAGAUCAUGUCUGGAACACAAUGGAACCAUAUAUAAGUGUCGACACAUAAAGAUAUAUUUGUACAUAAGAGAGUAGCACUUGAACAUAAAGAUAUAAACGAGGAUCAAAACCCACGAAAGAGUACUCAUAAAGAUUAAAGAUUAAAUUGAAAAGAUAAACGUGGGGUUUAAAGUAUCUAUAAAGAAGAGAUAGGCGUAUUGGCCAUACAUACAUAUACAGAAACGCCAUCUGAUAUAAACCAGUGAAAUAGAUGGGUCUUGUAAGGGAAAAGAAACCGUGAGAUAUGGUACAUGAUCACGAGGUCUAAAGGUGUUCAUGUUUCCUACUAAAACCAUACGAUCAUAGCUUGUUACACAAGGAUACUCACAGAGACCAUGGAAAAAAUUAUAAGGAGAUAAACUCCUAUGUGGUGGAUGCUGCUACACAAUUUUGAAAUUGACAAAGGUCUGGUCAUAAGAAAGAAAUUAGAUUGACAUAUAAAGAUGUAGUAAGCAGCAUAUGGAUCACUGGAUAAAAUACAGCAUUGUUCCUAAGCUGUUCAUGGACUGAAACAAAGCAGCUGCAUAUAGUAUGUAAUACUAGUAAAGGAGUUCUAUAAGCUGCAUAUAGUAUGUAAUACUAGUAAAGGAGUUCUAUAAGAACGAUCAAAUUCAGUCCAUAUGUAAACUAAUAAAGAAAUUCGAAUUCCUUAUGUUUAUACUAAACCAACCUAAAGAGAGGUUAAAAGGUUUAUACAGAUCUGUGACACUAGCAUGGACCGACUAGAUUGUAGUACGGGCUAGUGGAAAAGAAAGAUCAGCCCAAAGAAAGGUAAUUCAGAUUGCCUCAGCUUGCUACCUCGGAUAGCAUGUUCUCCGGAUAGACCAAUCCAACAUCAGAUCCCUUAGAUAAGGAUCAGGCAUAGCAGAACAUUCUGCUGCUGCUGUGAGGCUGAGAGGAGACAUUUAAUCUAUCCUUCUCGAUCGGAUACCAAUAGGUUGCAGUCCAUAAGAAUGUGUGAUCGAAGUCCAUGACCUAAUGUAUAUUCAGUGUGUGAUAUGAUCCACGGCAGAGAGGUCAUGGGACGCCAUCAAGAUAUGGAUAAAGGACUGCAAUGACUGAUAUAUAUGGCAUUACCGAAUGCAAGAGGGAUUGAUAACUGAGGUCCACAAAUGUAUUUGGCCGCAGAGCCAUAGUUUGAUAAGACUGUAAAAUCCUUGCAACAAUGAUCUUGGACGCUCAUGGAACGAGUUGCGGACAUAUAUAGACAAUGUCUAUUAUUCAAAACAUGAAUUGAUCAGAAUAUAGUAUGGUCGAUGGUAGUCCGCACUUUAUCAUCAUAACCAAUCAUAAUAGCCAAGGUAUUCGAGAGCUUAUGUGGUUGAGAUCUAUGACUCAACAUGAUAAUAGAGAAAGAUCAAUGGACAAGAUAUUGGUACACAUCCGUGUAGAAGAUACACCGGAUCAUAGGUUUACAACCUGAGAUUAUUAAUUCAUGGAACCAUGCUCGGUAUAUUGUCCAUAUACACACGAUUUGCAAAGACUCAUGCACACAUGAGUUUGCAAAUAACCGACAGUGAUCUUCGAGUACAAUGCAAUCCGCAUUGCUCAGCACAUCUACUUUACUAAGACACACGAUGUCAAAGGACAUGAGAAAAGGCCGAAGAGGUCGAAGUGGUCCAAUUACGGUUCAGUAAUAACUUGACCGAUUUGUUUACUUCCCACCUGCACGUUCAGGAAGAUCACGCAUCAGAUACGUAGACUAAAGAACUUCCACUGACGUUCACAUCAGGGGGAGUACUACGUGUUGUACUCUUUUUCCUUCAUCAUGGUUGUGUCCCACUAGGUUUUUCCUGAUAAGGUUUUAAUGAGGCAACGUGAAGCGUAUUACAAUCCUGUAUGGUUAUGGCAUCCAAGGGGGAGUGUUAUAAAUCAAGUGAUGAAUGUCCAUAACCGGCAUGGUCCAUAACCGGCCCAACCCCUAGAAGAAAGAGACAUAGCCAAAACCCUAGAGAGAGGAGAGAGAUGCGGCCGCAUGCCUUAGGAGAGAGAGAGAGAGGCGGCUUAUGCUUUGGAGAAAAUGAAACUCUAUUUCAUUUUCCUUGUAAUUGUUAUCUUUUCAUUAUUAUGUAGUAGUAGUUUUCCUAAUCCUAGUUGGUUUAGGUUUUUGGAAACUUUCCUUUUUCUAUGACUUGUAAUCCUUAUAUAAAAGAACCCAUGUUAGGAUUAAUAACCAUCUAAUUACAACAGAAUGCUAAUAUUUUAGAGAAAAUCAUGAGUAUGAUCCACAAAAGAACUUUAAUUUGACGACAAAAUCAGCAUUGAUCCAGUAUAGGCUCCAGAUUUUCAGCGUAGUAAACGAAAAUAACUUAAUAAAAAACAAAAAUAAAAAGGUAAAAAAAAAUUGAAUCUAUACUUAUAUUUGUAAAAUAAUUAGAUUUUCGUAAUAUAUAAUCUAUAUUAUUAUUUGAGAAGUGAAUUUGCUGAUUUGUCAUCUUCUUCAAGAUUUUAGUUAAUUUGUUUACUUGUCAUCUUUUCCAUAAUUCUAGGAUACGUCAUUUGUUUAAUUAAUAUAAUUAUUUAAAUUUUUAUUUUGAUAUCUAUAUAUGUAUCAUGAUAUUUAAUAUAAUUAAUAAACAUUAAACUAUUCAAACGAUAUGUAUACAAUUAUUUUUAAAAAAUUAAUAUUUAAUAUAUAAUUAUUAUGAUAUUUAAAAAAUUUAAUUAAUAAAUAGAUAUUAACAAUAUCUAGCGAUAAUCUCAUCAUUACUUUUAUCUUAUAUUAAUUUUAUAAUUUUAAUGACUAAUAAAAAAUAAACGCUUUUAAGUUCUUUUUACAGUGUAGUAGUAGUUACAUAGGAACCACCACCACUCGACAUCGGAACCAUUCGCCGGGAACUUCAAUGGCGCAACUCAUACGUCCGGUAAGGCAAUUGUCGCCGCAGUGUCAUCACUGUCUUCGUAAUCUCCGCCACUUGUUCUCCAAGAAGCUGCCGCUAAUCAUAUUCACUUUCUUAAAAUAACAUUCAUUUGGUUUAUUCAGUAGUACCAAAUCCAAACUAUUUUCUCUAUUUCGGUUUGGUUUGGUUUUAAAUAGUUCGAUUUUAUCAGAUUGAACACUUCUAAACUAUCUUUAUUUUGUUAAUGUUUUAUACUUUUGAUUUUUAUCUUCCUUUCAGUAACACAUGAUUUCUUUUCAGUCAAAAUACAAUAUAUGUUAAUUUCAAUACAAAUUUCGUAAUUUAAUUAUUAAUAUAGAAAAAAAAUUGAUCUGAAAUCUACAUCUUAUAAAUCAAAAUAUGAAACAAAAUAGCAUAAUUUAGUACAUUGAUUACCAAUAUAAAUAGUAAAAUUUUAUAGUUUACAAUAAUUUAAAAUUUUUAUCUAAUUGAAUUGUUAUUAUUUUAUAAAAAUAAAAGUUAGAAUUAAAAAUUGUUAAAUAUAUUAAUCCGCACAAGGUGAGGGACAUCAACUAGUUAACCAUAAAUUAACAAAAUUCAUUGAUCUGACAUCAAAAGAAAUAGCUUGUUUUAUGUAUAGAUGAGUUUUCAAUUUACUGUACACAAUAAAAGAUAAUUUUGUUAUACUAAAAGACUUUUUUAUAUGUAAAAGUUUUAUAAUUUAAUUUAUUACUAAAUAUUUUAAACGCAUGAGUGCUUUUAAGUUUAUACUUACAUAAUAGAAUGUAUUUAUGUUAUGAUGAAUUUUUUUUGCAUAUAUAAAGGAUUUUUGUUUAAUUAAAUAUUUUGAACAUUUGUAUGAUAACUUAAUCUAGUCGUAUUUGAAUUGACAAUAUAUUUGAUUAUGCCCACGGCUGAGAAAAAACACCUUAAUCUUUGUUAGUUUGGUUGCCGCAGGUACCGGCGGCAGCGGCAGCGUCAACAUUCUGCGUCAACUCUUGUUCGUUUCGUUGACGCAGGAAACUGCGUCUGACGCCGCGUCCGAACGCCGCGUCCUGCGGCUGACGCCGAUAAAAUCUGCGGUCGCGAUAUAGUAUGCGGCAGCGGCAGCGUCAGCGUCAGCGAAACGAACAAUAACUGUCCUCAUUGACGCUACCACUGCCGCUGAUGCUGCCGCUGCCGCUGACGCCGACGCCGAAACCUGCGGCAACCAAACAAAAGUAAAAAAUAAACGCUUUUAAGUUCUUUUUACAGUGUAGUAGUAGUUACAUAGGAACCACCACCACUCGACAUCGGAACCAUUCGCCGGGAACUUCAAUGGCGCAACUCAUACGUCCGGUAAGGCAAUUGUCGCCGCAGUGUCAUCACUGUCUUCGUAAUCUCCGCCACUUGUUCUCCAAGAAGCUGCCGCUAAACCCACCUUCUUCUACGCCCACUCUCCUUCUCCUCUCCCCUUCUUUCUCCACCGCAAGAUCUCCACCUCGUCGGCGACUUCGCCGUCCCGCGCCACCAGAAGCUCUCGCUCCUCCAAACCUCAUUGCUGAAGAAGAUGGCGGUAGCGAUGAAUCAGAGUCUGAGUCGUCGAGAAGCAGGAACCAGCGGAAGCGUGACGCUCGCCGCGCCGUCCGGUGGGGUAUGGAGCUAGCUUCCUUCUCUAGUGAUCAGAUUAAGAGGGUUAUGAGGUAAUCAAUCAAUCAUCUCCUAUAAAAAUCUCAACUUUAUUGAAAAUGAAUUGACUUUACAUCUGGUAGAGCGGCGUCGCUUGGUGAAGAGGUUUACGAUGCGUUGAUGCUUGCCAAGGUAAAUCAAGAUGAGUGCUUUAAGUUAGGUGAUCGUGUUUAUGGGACUAAUGCACGUAAGGUGUUUGUUGUAAUGUCGCAGAGACUAGGCGCGGAUGUUAGAGAAGGGAAGCGUAGACAUUUUAACUAUAUCGGUGAGAUAAAGAGAGAAAGUUACAUUAUUUACUCUAUAGCGUUCACUAAGAGUUUAGCUGAUGUUGGUGUUUGUUUCUUAGGGAAGUUGUUGCGUGAAGUUGAACCUGAUUUGAUGGACACUCUGAUUAAUGCCACUAAUCAGGGUGAUCUCACUAGGAUUCAGGUGCUGAUUGCUUCGGCAAAGGAUGGCGCAGAUGACGCUGGAGUGAGUGAUUUUAUUGAUUCAGAAACAGAGUCGGAAGAUGAAGGAGAGGUAAGUGUAACCCUCAAUAUAUGCAUCAACUUCAGUUUUUAAAGGUAGUUACAGUAAGUGAAUGGAGACAUGAUGAUGAUAUAGCGAAGGGUAGAAUAUUUUGGUAGUCCAUUGCAGAAUAUAGCGGUUAAGAGUAGCUUCCAUUAAAGAAGAGGAUGGUAUAUUGGUAUCAUUGUCUAAAUGGAUGAAGAGAACUGUGUUUGUUGUCUACAUAGAAACGUUCUCAGUAGUUUUGCUCUCCAAACUCCUAUAAUUUUUAAGAUAAUGUUUUUCAGAGCUCAGAAGAAUAUGUGGCUAUAGCUGCGAGAUGGUUUGAUGGCCUUAUCAGUCAAAAUGUGGAGCUCACAAAAGAAGUUUAUUCUCUUCAGAGUGUUGAUUUCGAUCGACAGGUUAGUCAAAAUAUGAAUUCAAUAAAGAAAGCAGAUGUGUAUGACUUGUUUACUAAAGUGUAUAGUUCCUUAUCAUAUAUGCUUUCUGUCGUUGAUUGUUGAUAGGAAUUGCGUAAACUUGUUCGGAAAGUACAGUUGGUUCAUGAGCAGAGAAAAGACGUAACCCCGGAGAAGCAGAAAGAAGUCGAUGCUGCAUUGGUGACGGCUGAGAAGUCUCUGAAUCGAUUUCUUCAUUCCAUGGCGAAACAAAUGCAGAGUGAGGAGAGCAGUCUGUACUUAUGAUUUAAAAGAAUAUAUUUUUUGAUUCUCAAUAAUAUAAUACCCAUUAAACCGAACUCAAACCGAGUUACCAAAUUUUUGGUUCUGUUUGCUAAAUCCGGUUAAACUGCCAAGGCUUACUUACUUUAGCUUAUCAGUUAUCAUGAUCGUCUUUUCUCCUUUUUGUACUUUUUUUUCUUCUUUCUACAGCACACGUUUUUGCGUUUCUUGUCAUCUAUCCAUCAAUGUUAUCCUAAUAGGACACAUCAUUUGUCAUCAAAACCAAAAUUAAGAUAAUACUAUAAUCCUUUAUUAUCUGAUAUGUUCUUCCACUAAGUUGUAUUUUAUGAAUAAUUUGUGACGACAUUUAUAGAUAUACUGCAACUGCUUGAAAAUACUGAAAAUUAGCUAUACUGCAACAACAAACUCUUGACAUAACAACACUAGUAAAAUGACAUUGUACAUGGUCAAUGUUUUGUAGUGAACUUGAAAAAUGAUCAACAAUGUGGUUAAAUAUUCAUUAAUGUGCACAAUCAUGAAACAUAUAAAUGUAAUCGGAUGCAAAAUUUACAUCCAGAACCGGAAAUGAUGAAAAACAAAUAUCAAAAUUGCCGAAAAAGAAGAAAAAUACAACUAAAAAUGAGUAAAUAUUGAGAAGAUAUAUGAAUUUUUGAGGAGUCAGAAGUGAAAACAUCAGAUAACCAAGUAGAUAAUGGUGACGGUGAGCUUUCUGCCAAUCCACCGCCCUCUCUCCACCCAUUAGCUGCAGACUUUUGGCUGUAUACACAUUCCAAACUUUAAUGAGUAUAAUACUAUUUGAAUAUAAAUAACUAAUAUAAGCAUACGCGUUCGGUAAUGGUAGGCCUAUUGUAUGUUCUAAUAACCUUUUUUUCAUUUUUCCUUUCUUUGAUGGAAUGACUAUUAUAUACUCCUUUAUUGCGUGUAAAAAAAAAAAGAAAGAAUCAACUUCUUUUUCAUAAAUGGCUCAAGCCAAUCACAUUACUCUGCUAGCUAAGCUCGUCGUGUGCAUGAUAAAAAAGCAAGUAGACAAAAAAAUAAUAAAAAAAUAAUAAAGACGUUAAACCUACCUAGGCAAGGAAGGGCAAAGAGUGAUGGUAUAAUCAGCAGAAGUGCAUGUGAACGUACUCGUAGCGUCGUCGAACGCGUAGCUAUACGAUCUAGGACAAGCUGACUUGAAUAUCUCCGAGUACAUGGACGGUUUACACUCUGUAGGUGAAGCGUACGCGCCACUACAACAAUACUCUGGACUACCAAACGCCUCGCACGCGCUUUUGCAUGCUGACCCGGAUCCGAACCGGAGCUCCGGUGGACAUCUUUGGUUUAGAUCGGCCACGCAUCCUGUGGUUAAGCAGUUGCCUUCUGUCCCUCCGCUUGGUUCAACUACCAUGGGGACGUUGUAUCCGUCCACGAGGCUUACGUCGUAGAAGUCUUGUUUUCGGGUAGGAUCUUCUGGACCUGACCCGAUCGUGAAUUCGGCUAGCGUAGCCGGCGGUUUGGCUCCUGAGCCGUUGCAUUCGACUUGGUUAGAGCCGCAGUCGCCGGUUAAGCAGGUGAAUUGACCUGUUUGAGAGUCGAAGUUGCAGCCGGUUCUUGCCCAAAACCGACCCGACCAGCUUGCUGGAGCUUGGAAGGAACGUGAGCCACCGGAAGCUAGCUCGAAGCCGGUUGUUCCUAAGCCGCUGCUUCCGGAGUUGGCUAAAAUUCCCGGCCAGACAGUGAAGCUGCAUCGGUUUACUAUAGUUACUGUAGCACCAUUACUUCCUACGCAAGUCAAAAUGUAUAUGAGAAGAUAUGAAUAUGAAUAUUGCGAAUCUUGAUACAGAUAUGAAUAUUACCGUAGAAGAAGAGGAAGCUAAACAUGUAGAUGAAACAGAAUGAGACAGGAGAAUGAAGAAGUGUUAUGAUCAUCACUGUUUUUAUUUUUGUUUCCUUCUUUUGAAAAGAAAAGUAUUUUCGGUGGAGAAGUCAAGUUUGGAAUAUUGGAGAUAACAAAACCAAAGAGGAAGAGAAAAAAUUUAUGAGAUAUAGAGUUUAAAGGGAGCAUUUAAGGUGACAUCAACAACUCUAUAUAUACCUUCUCUCAAGGGUCAAGAUCCAUGUGAUCUCACAAAUAAAAAAGUAUGACCAAAUUGCUUUAUGUUUAAAGUGAUGCCAGAGAUAACAAUACGUUGAAAAAGAUAUUUUAUCACGAAUUGAUUAAGGUCUUUUUCUUUGCAAAUAAAAUAUCUACCUUUACAGAAUAUAUAUGUUUUAAAUUUACAAAACCCAUAGCUUUUCAAAACUUAUUUUUGUAGAAUACAAGUAAAAAUACUCAAGUAGAUAUGCAUAAUAGGUGUCUAACACUACAGAAAGCUACAAGGAUAACUUCGGAUAGAUAGAUUGACCAACAAAAAGUUUCGUGUCUGAACCGUCGCGGGUUCACAUUGUUGUUUAAUUUUAUCGAGGAACAGUGAUAUGAUAGAUGCACUUAUUUAGCAAGAUCUAGAAUCCAAGUUGUGAUGCUAUUACAUAAUCCAUCAAAAACCAUAUAGUAAGAACUAAUCUUGGAAAGAAAUACGAGUAAAACACGAUGUUCUGUUUUUAACUAAGAGUAGAGAAAACAUAGAGAAGAAAAACAUCAGAAGUGAAAUCUAUAGUUCGUCCUUGGUUGGUGUCUCUUCCUCAACUGGUUCGGCUUCAAUGUUUAGACCACCAUGCAAGUCAUCUGAUUUUGUCUCAGUGGCUUCCUCACUCGUCUCUGUUUCCUCUGCCUCGACUUCCUCUUCGGCUACGGCAUCAGGACUGAUCUUCAGGCUGCUCUUGACGGAGUUGUAAAUACGGCCUGCAAAGUCUUUUGGGUCGUUGAGUAUGAAUCCACUCUCGAUCAAAGCUGUCUGGUACAUGAGCUGUGCUGUUUCUUUCACACUCUCAUCCUGCAAGAGUUUUGUGUGUCAGGAAGGUAAACAAAAAACAAAGAGCUAACGGGUCCUUAUGUCUUUACCUCUGGGUCGCUAGCAACUCUUUCCUUGAGUUCUUUGAUGAUAGGGUGUCGAGGGUUGAUCUCAAGGACUCGCUUUCCUCGCAUGUAAGCUUGCUUGUUUGCAUCGGAGAGAGUUUGGGACUGCAUGAUCCUCUCCAUGUUUGCACUCCAUCCAAACUUGGACGUUACAACUACACAGGGAGUGUCAGCCAAUCGGUUACUGAUUUUAACGUCGUCCACGUUCUCACUAGCGAGACUCUCCUUCCACCACUUGGUUAGCUCCUUGAAUGCUUCUUUCAGCUCCUUCACUUUCGAAUCUUUCCCAACCUUCAGUCCUUCUUUUGACACAUUCUGGAACUUCUUGUCCUCGUAAUCCAUCAGGUAUUGCAUCAAGUACUCAUCAACGGGGUCUGUGAAGAAGAUUACCUGCGAACACAAGUAUUGGAAUGUGAGAUGCAAGUUAGCAAUCGUACAAGAAAAACUAUCAGUGUUCGAUACAAACCUCAUAGCCCUUUUUGAUGAGCCUCUCCAGGAAUGGAGAUUUCUCCAGUUGCUCCUUGCUGCUUCCAGUAAUGUAAAAUACGUCCUUUUGCCCCUUUUUCAUUCUCUUGAUGUACUGAUCAAGGGAAGUCAAUUUUCCAUCGGACUUAGUUCUGUAAUGAGAAAUUCUAAAUCUUUAGCCAACUGGUGCUAUUAAGCUGACAGGUAUAUGUAUAAAAAGGUUAACGGAAGCACUUACGUCUCAAAACGAAGUAGUUUUGCCAGGCGGUUCCUGUUAGAAGCAUCCUCAAUAAUGCCAAGUUUAAUCGACUUGCCAAACUCGUUCCAGAACUUGGUGUACUGACCCUUCUUCUCGUCAUUCUCACCAGACUUCUCCACAUCUGUGAGCCAAAAAUAAAUACGUUUGGAACAAAUUUCAGAAAGAUGAAGGUACCAUGGUAAAAAAUGGAACAUGCAAGUGGUUUGAUGAUACCAAGAAGCUUGUUAUAUGGAAUACCUUUUUUGUCAUCGUCAUGGACCUCAUCAGGGUCUUCUUCAGCAAGCUUGCGGAUCAUAUCAAGAGCCUUUCGGAUGAGCUUCUUCUUAAUUGUCUUUAAGCUGCUGUGUUGUUGAAGCAUUUCUCGUGAUACAUUUAGAGGCAACGUGUCAGAGUCAACAAGACCCUGCAGAAGUAACACACAUUAGCAAUUCAGCCAUUGAAUUUGUACUGAAGGUAACAAUUAGUUUGUCUUCCUGUAAGUUACCUUCAAGAAACUCAAAUAUUUAGGCAGAAGCUCAUCAAAUUCAUCCGAGAUGAAGACCCUCCUGACGUAGAGCUUCAAGUUCGCCUUGUUGGUGUUGUAGUAGCUCUCGUACUGAUCAUGGGCAGCUUUCGGAGGAACAUACAACACAGCCUUGAAUUCAACAUCACCUUCAGCAUUGAAGUGACUCCAAGCCAUUGGCUUCUCGUCAGAGAAAUCCUGUACAACAACUGGGGUCAGAGAAAUCCAGAUGUGCAACAAGUAUUAUUUGUUCACGCAUGAUAUUCACCUUUGAGAGAGAGUGGUAGAAUUUAGUGUACUCUUCCUCUGUCACCUCCUUGGGACUUCUCAGCCAUAUAGCCUUAACAUCAUUCAGAAGCUCCCAUUCAUAAACCGUUUCUUUCACCUUCUUGGUUUUCUGCUUCUUCUCACUGUCUUCAUCCUCAGCAUCUUCUUCCUUCUCUUCCUCGGUAGAGGUGGUUUCUGCAGCGAAGUACCGUUAAUAAAACACACGUGCGUCUGACUUGUAGGAACGAAAAAAAAAACACUACAGCAGAAAAUUAUAAUUGCGAUGUUUAUAAUAACUCACCAGUUUCCUCUUCAGUUGAUUCAUCUUCCUCAGCUGGGACCUCAGUUUCAACCUCUUUGCUAGCCCAGAGGUUGAUAGGGAAGUUAAUGAAUUCAGAAUAUCUCUUCACCAAAUCCUGCAGUAGACAAUAGACAGAUAUAAUCAAUGCACCGUAUUCAUUAUUCUGUUGAACCACUCUUUAAGAAACGAAAGAAAAUUUACAUCUUUAUGAAAAUAUUACUCACCUUAAGUUUACUCUCCUCAAGGUACUCGCCAGCUUCAUCUCUAAGAUGUAGUCUAAUCUCAGUUCCACGUCCAAGAGGCUCAUUCCAUGUAUCCUCGGAAACAGCAAAUUUACCAUCAGCCUUUGAUUCCCAUACAUGUCUGAAAAUGGAAAAGAAGUUAUCAGAAAAGCUUCCCAAAUGAAUUAUACAUGCAUACAAGUACAUCUCCAAACAAAACACAAUCCGAAGUCAACUUACUGGAUAUCAUCGUUGUGCUUGCUAAUGACUUCAAUGUAGUCAGCAACAAGAUAGGCAGAGUAGAAUCCAACACCAAAUUGUCCAAUAAGGUUAAGAUCCCCACUUGAUUGCAUUUUCUCAACAAAAGCUGUGAAAUAGAAGAUCUUGAAUACAUAAGAAUUUUCUUAAUCCAAUCUAUUAAACUAUAUCAUCACCGCAGGCAAACGUACCUGACGUUCCGGAUUUUGCAAUGGUACCAAGGUUCUUGAUCAAGUCCUCCUUAGUCAUUCCAAUACCACGGUCCCGAAUAGAAAGAAUCUUCUUAGCUUUAUCUAACUUAAUCUGCACAUCAUCAUCAAAAAAACUUCAGAUCUCUCAAGCUCAAUGAACAAAUCACACACCAUCUACCAAAAAAGAUGUAGCUAACCUGGAUCUCAAGCUUAGCAUUGUCACCUUCGCCCAAAACGUCUUUGUCAGUGAGUGCAAGGAACCUAAUCUUAUCCAAAGCCUGCAAAAAAGUUACAAACAUUAGCUCCCCUGUUCAACAAGUAACAACCAUGGAGAUAAUAAACACAAAAGGCUUACAUCAGAAGCAUUGGAGAUCAACUCUCUAAGGAAAAUAUCCUUGUUGCUGUAUAGAGAGUUGAUGAUAAUGUCCAUCAGCCGAGAGACCUCAGCCUGGAACUCAAACUUCUCCGCGUUACUGCGGAGUGACUUCUUCGAGAUCGACUCAGACUCUCUGCCAAUAAACGAAAUCAGCCGACAGAUUUACGCGAUUGAAAUCGAAAGGUGUAGCUUGGUGAGAGACUAACCUAUGAACGACAUCUGAAUCAGUCGAUAAACCGCCGUGACCACCGAGUUUCUCCUCCACCUUCGGUGGAUCUGAAACCUCAUCGGAGCUAUCUUCUGCAUUCGCGUGCAGCUUUCUUCCUGUGAUACACAUACACCGUCGUUAGCAUAGAGAUCGAAAGUGAACAGCUACGUAAUCAAAAUCAAAGUGUUGGAUUGGAUCGAUACCUUGAUCUGGGAGAAGGAAGAGGAGGGAGAACAGGAACAAGACGGACACGAGCGUCCUCUUCCUCAUUGUUGAGAUCGUAUAGCUUUCUCGAUAUCUCUCGAGACUCACUCGCUAGGUAUGUUAUCUUUGAGGUUUACUCACUCACUCACUGAUGAUUCGAGCUCGAAAGGAGAAGAGAUCCGUAAAAUAGGAGAUUGAUUCUGUGUCAUUGCGUACACUUCGGUUCAUGAGCUACGUCUUGAUUUGCUUACGUGGCAGAUCUAACGGCUCGGUGUUGCUGAGAUAUCCACGUGGGCGUUUUGUAUUGGAGGAAGGUUUUGUACUUGACGUGGAUCGACGUGUUGUAGUGUGGAUCAGUGGAUGGACGACUUGAAUAAUAUAAGUCGACGGUGAUACCGUGGACGUUCUUGUUGGACGAUCGGACGGCUAUAAUUACUUGAAUUACACGUGGCGUGGGAUUAUUGGAUGUUAGCAUUUUUAUUGACGUCAGACUUCCAAAGCUAGAAGUUGAUUUUCUAGAUGAUUCUUCUAUACUUCACUCACGCUUAUUAUGUUUGGCUGCUUGGAUAUCACUGUUUUGAUCAGUGACAUUACGAGUGCGUGAAAAGCAAGAAGACAUGAACUUGUUCUAUACGAUAGCUCAAACUAUGUUUCUAGGAACCACCAUUCCUUUUGUCUGAGUCUUGUAUGAAACAGCUAUUCAUUUUGUUCUAUAAACAGUUAUUCAGAAAUGAGAGAAUAAUAAACACAAAAUGUAAGGAAGACAAUGGCAACACUUUCUUGAUUUUAAAAAGACCUAGAUUUUUAUUUUAUGGAGAAAACCCCACCAAGGUUAAAAAGAUUAUACCAAUGUUUGAAUUAAUCCUCAUGUAUGUUAUGAAAUGAAACCUGACAAAGAGAGUUCAGCGACACAAAUUAUAGGUUACCCCAGUCCUCUCGUACUAGGGUUGGCUCCUCGCAGUUCAGCCCUCACCACCUUUGCCAUCCUUUGAUCAAUCAAUCAAUCCGUCCACCUAUUGAAGAACCCAGUCUCCACUAUAUGUGAAUCACUCAUCUCCAUGGAGGAGGGAAUAAUUCCCAACGUGUCUCCAGCUCCAUUCGAUUUCCACCAAUGCUAAUAGAUGAAGGUCAUGUUCGUUUCUACAUCUGGAAGAUGCAUCAAGAUGCUCCAUCUAGAUGUCUUAUCCAGAUGCUUCGUCUGGGUGUUGUUCGUUUCUUCAUUUCGUCCAUGCAUCCAAAUAAAUCAUCUGAAUGCAGCUAUGUUCGUUUGCUUUUCAUUUUUUAACUUGCAUCUGCAUCCAUGUGGACUUGUUAAUAAAAUGACUAAAAUAUAUUUUUUUAUGUUUAGGCGGGAAAAUGCGUUUUCCAGUUUCGGCGGGAAAAUGCGUUUUUCCGGUUUCGGCGGGAAAAUGCGUUUUUCCGGUUUUAGUGGGAAAAUAUUUUUUUCCUGUUUUUGCGUGAAAAUGCGUUUUCCAGUUUUGGCGGAAAAAUGCGUUUUUCCGAUUUUGGCGAGAAAAUGUUUUUUGCGGUUUUGGCCAGAAAAUGUUUUUUUGGGGUUUUGGCGGAAAUAUAUGUUUUUGGGUUUUGGCGGAAAAACAAAAUGGGUUUUUCGGUUUUGGCGGAAAAAUGCGUUUUCCGGUUUUGACCGAAAAGUGUGUUUUUACUGGUUUGGUCGAAAAGUAUGUUUUUAUGGAAAUGUACGUUUUACGUUUUUUUAGGGAAAACGCAUUUUGCGGUUUUGGCGGAAAAGUGUGUUUUUCAGUUUUUGCGAGAAAAUAUAUUUUUCGGUUCUGGCGAAAAAAUGUAUUUGCAAAAAAAAAAUAGAAUUUACGGUUUUAAAAUAAUAUUUUGAUUUUAAAAGGUAAUUUUUGUCAUUUCUCAUUUUGGACUGAAAUAGAUGUAUCUGAAUCCAUAUGCACCAUCAAGACUCACAUUCAUUUGGGUGAGAAUUUGAAAAGAGUUUUAAAAAUUCAGCUGGAUGAUUCAUCUGGAUGUAGCAUUAUAAUGCACAAAACGAACAUCGAUUUGCAUCUUCACCCAGAUGAUCCAUCUGGGUGAGCAAACGAACAUCACCGAACUCGAUGAAGGCUGCUAUACAUUCGCUCUUGAAUGCUCUCCCAUAGCUCUGCUUUGUUCCGGUGGAACUUCUUUUUAGAAAUUGUCGUUAUAUUCCCAUUUUUUCAAAGUUGUUGCUUGGAGAGGUACAAAACCAAAUGGAAAAAGGUACAAACCAAUUGUGACGAGCAAGUAUAUGUGUGUUGGAAUUUUUGUGAAUUUGUUUUGGAUUUAACUACUGUUGUAACAGAUGUGGAAACAGAUGAACAAAAACGAUGUAACUGAUAUUUAAUGUGGUUCACCAAUUUGGCUACAUUCAUGGGUAUAGAGAGAUUUUAUUACUCGAAACGAUAUUUUUGAGCUUAUAGAGUGUAAUUUUAAGGUUAUUUCGAAUACAAAAUCAUAUCUUACAAUAGUAAAAGGAAAAUAUGCUCAACAGAGAUGGUCCACGUCAUUUAAAAAAAUUUACCAAUCAGAAACAAGUUUACUGCCACGUCAUAUCAGUUUCACCGUGUGGACUUAAUUUAUUUUGCCUUAGCCCAAAUCGAUCAAUUUCAUUCUCAGUGUGGGUUACCCUGUGUGGGCUUUAACUAAUUUGUCCACUUCAGACAAUAAUUAUGUACUAGGUGGUAAUCCGCGCCUUGCGCGGGGUGAUGGAUUAAAAGAGAUUAUAACUUUAAAACUAUAUAGACUAAUUUAUUGGGGUAUUUUAAUUAUAUUUUAUGGAAAUACAUCUAAAAGAGUAAGUAAAGACUUAUAUAAAUUUAUUAUGAAUUUAAGAUGAAACAAAAAAAAAGCAAGAGCAUUAUUGUUUUCAUAAUAUAAAUUAUGAAUAUAAAAUAAAAUGAAACACAUGCAACAGAAUAAUAAAAUAUGAAAGAAACAAAUUUAUAAAGAAACAAAUAAAAAAUUGAUAAAACCACAACUACUGUUAGAAGUGUCUUCAGAACUCGUGGUUUGCAAUUCUAUAGAAAGCCAUAACAAAGUAUCAACUUACCAAACUAAACACAUAUAUUUACCAAAUUCAGUAAACGAAAUGUUAUACCUCUUUCUGAAAACAUCGAUUUCUGGAACAUCGUUAGGUUCAAAAAUAAUUUUUGAAACCCAUCAUUGUUAAUCACAUUCUUUAAUCGACGUUAUCAUGAUAAAAAAACAAUGUAAGCAAAAUCAAAGACAAAAUUCAUGAAUUUUUUUUGUAUGUAGAAAAAUAGUAGGUUUUGAUGUAGAUGAAUUUCAGUCUAAUGUUAUAUACAGGGAUCACUUAUAAGGUUUUGCUUAUGAAAGAUUAGAGAGAAAAAAGUAUUAUCUCACCUAAAUCAAAUCGAAUUAAUUCCUUACUUUUAGCUGCCAAUUUUAAAAUUAUGGAAAGUAAUAUAAUUAAGAAAUCAACAUAUAGGAAACAAAAUUAACUUUGUAAAUUAACUUGAUCGAAUAUAACCAGAUUGACGUGUUGUGAUGGGUUGAGUCCUUAAUUUCAGAAUCUUGGUGCUUAAUCUAAGGAAUUGAAUAGAAUUUGUAUAGGACUUUAAAUUAAUAAAUAAUUGUAGCACAAAUUGUUCUAAUUUCCAUACGAAUACUGGUCUGAGUCAAAACUUUCCUAUAAUAAUUUUUCGAAUGCUAAUUUGUGAAUAUAUAAUGGAAAGUAAAUAAAUUUAAUAAUAUUUGCCCAAUAUAUAUGGCAUUCAAUGUCGAUCUUCCGCGUUCUAGUGUGAAUCAAGAAAUAAUUUUUCGAAUGCCCAAUAUAUAUGGCAAUUAAUUUAUACAUUCAAUGAUUUGAAAUAUUGGGCAAAUAUUAUUAAAUUGCAUUGAAAAAUUGCCAUAUAUAUAGUCACUAAAUUUGUUUGGGCACCACCUAGUACAUACAAGAUUAAAAAGGAUUAGAUUAUGCAUUAUAUUAUAUAUAAUAUUUAAACUAUACGCUUACAUAGUACGUAUACCAUUAAAAAAGAAGUUAGAUUAUGCAUUAUAUUUAUGUAGUAAACUAUAGUUUAUUAGAAAUAUAGCAACUUUCUACAACGUUGAUCAAUAUAUGGUCCUAUUUUUUUCAAACUACGAAAUGUGUUAUCACUCCAUAUAAUAUAAAACUCAUACACCAAUAUUAUAUUUUGUAGAAUGUAAAUCAUCCAAUAAGAAAUAUAUGAAAUAAAAACUUGUUUACAAUGCGAUAAUGAUUACAAUACAGUUGGCUACUAUUGUUAGGUUGCCAAAAAAGAUACAGCCAAGAAAGAAUGAGAAGAUAUAAGCAUGAAAGCAAAAAAUACAUUUUUAAAACUCGCAUGAAAAUAAGAGAUAUAUGUAUAAUCCAUCAAAACCAAUUAUAUUAUGCAUAAACAUGAAACUUAAAUGUCCAAUGGCACUAUAUGUAAUUAGUUAAGACAAGCAAGGGUUAUUCAGUAAAUGAUAUGAGAAGAGCUCUCAUGAUGACACAUAAGUAAUGACAAUCUUGAUAAUAACACAUGAGGCAAAUGUUUAUUAUUUAGGAUAUCAAGAAACAUGUAUUCUUAUAACUUUGGUAAAGUAUCUCAAACAAAAUAAUUUGGACGUUUCUUAUUCCUUGGAGAUUGAUGUCUCCUCACAUCUCCAAAAACCAGCAGUUCCAUUUUCUAAUCGUGAUUCCUCAACUUCAAUUAUGAUUAUAAUGGCCGCUCCCUCAUAUUUAUUUGUCUCUCCCUCAUAUUUAUCAUCUCUUUCUGUGAAGAUUAUAAAAUCUUUCCUUCCACGAUUCUAAUGAUCGAUAGACUAAAAGUCUAAAACCCUUGCCAAGAUUCUCUAAAAUCGAAUAAUGACAUUUAAAAUAUAUGCAGGUAUGGUCUCUAUAUUUCUCUUUAAAGCGAUAAGAAUAUCCUUGCUGAGAUUGGGAAUGCGAGCUGUCCAACGUGAUGAUCGGGUCGCGAGCUGUCUGAGAUCAUUUGUUUUGGUGUUUAUGAAGAAUAGAUCCUCCUUAAAUUUUAUGUUCCAGAGGAUCAAGUGUUAUGUUAAUCUUAUGAGGCAGACAUAAUGGAUUUUAGACUAUUGAUUAGCUUAUCUGUAUACCUUAAUCAAUGUAUUAUUUUAUUUCCUUCAGAUGCUGUUAUUCUCCAUCUCAAUUAACCAAAGAAAAAAGCCCAUUGUUCUCGAUAAUGCCGUCUAGCUUCUGUGAAAACAAGCCACUGGCUGGCUUUUAAUGUGACCACAUGAUUUUCUUAUGAUAGAGACAUAUAAGACUGAGAUUCAUGGAGUAAUUCAAAAGCAACGAUUGUUAUAAAGUUCUUUGAUUUUCUUAUUUAUUAUAGUGGUUGAUCUGUAAUGCUUCACAAGUUUCAAAUAGAUAAAACAUAUAGAAUUAAGAAAAGUUAGACGACAUACUGAAGCUAAUAAAAUUAAUGCAUCUUAAGUUUUUUCUUUUUAGUCUUAAAGGUUAGAUCAACGCUAAAUUUGAAGAGAGUAGGCAGAGCUGCAUCAAGAAAGUAACACUCUCCUAACAAAGAAGGCCAUCAUCAUCUUCACUCUCACUUACCAGUGUAAUCCAGGUGAUUUGUAGUAUUCCUCAGAAACUUUUCAUUUAUUCUUCUCCUGACAAAUUACUUUUAAAAAAAAUUAAAUCUUCAACGCAAAGGCCACAAUCCAUGCAAAACGUUAAGCUUCUCUCACAGCAGCCGUUACAGUAAUAACAUUUACAAAAUUGCAGGCCAUUGAAGGAAGGAUACAUUUCAGGUGACCAUUUUGUUUGUGAAAGUUAUAUAAGCUUACUACACCUAAGAUCAUGGCCAUAUUGAAAGUUGAUUCACUUUUGCACCUAUUAUCUUAACUCUGAAGGUAUCCAGAGAGAAUGUCUGAGGGAGUUAGAGUUCAGUUUCUUACCAGAAAUUGCAAUCGAAGAGAUUGUUUGCAGAGACAUUUAGUUUCAUAGGCAAAGGGACCUUGAGAUUACUUCUUUAAAUCUGCAGGUAUUCUUUUAUAAAAAAAUGGGAUGUAAAUUGUAUUAUAAGCAUAUUUGUUUAACAGAGAUACAACUCAAUGAAACAUAUUAACAGCUUCGGAAGAAGAUUGCUACUGGAGCUUCUGUUGUAGAAGAUGGAUUUUCAAUUACAAAUAAUAGGCUAUAUAUAUAUUGAGUCCUACUGAUCUUGGGAUAAAUGGGAACAUAUAUGAUUUAAGUUGAGCAGCUUAUGGUUUUGUAGUGUUUGUAAUUUGCUUUUAAGUUAACAACUUUUAGGUCUCUAAUUUCAAAAUUUGCAUUUACACAACUAUUGACCCCUAGUCGCAUCAGAACCCGUCUGUUUCUUUUUCCUUCUUUCUAUGUUUCAGGGACGACGAGCAAAUUGAUGUUCGAAGAGACACAAACUGACAAAAUUUGAGGACCUACAUAGCACAAGAACAACGUUCGAGCAAGCCCGGUUUCAUCUGGUCAUCACUUUUGUCUUCUAAUGCUACAAGUAUUUCCAAGGUAUUUUAUUUUGAUUCAAUCUGCAAGUCAAUGCCAUCACAUGUAGCGUAAAUUUCCUGAAAUUUAAAUAUCUUCCAGAAUUUGGGUUUCGCGUCGCUGAACAAGAAAGUUGUCAUAAGGAAUUAGUAACUGUAUGACUACUGCAAUUUUAUCUGUACAUAUAAGAUAUAAGAUAAAAUAGAAUGUUCUGCGUGGCCGUUAGUGAGGAGUACAUUUUGGUGUGUGACAAGGUGACUGCCUGUGAAACACCAUCACUAUGAUUUUUUCAGCCGUUUCUCCUUGCCAUUAAUCUAUGAUGAAUUGCAUACCGUAGGGAUUUUGAUUGUUUGUUUGUGUUUUAAUUGGGAAUGGAGUCUAGAUUCUCAUGUCAUUAUCCUCGACGGUUUUUUUUUUUUUACCAGGCGAUGGAUAUUGGAAUUGCGACAUACAAGAAAUUUCAAUGUGCGUAAACUCAAAUAGCCACAUUAUUCCUGAACAAGUAGCCUCUGUAAAACCUGCAACAUGAACUCAAAAAUAUCAUGUGUGGAAGCAAAUUUGGAAGGGUGUGCCGGCUAGAUCAAAAAGAAUCAGAUCAUGAUCGAGUGUUAUAUAUGGCAUGAGAACAUUGCAUAGAAUCCAUAUUAGUUAGAGUUGUAUCAUUACAAGGUAAUCUAAAUCUGGAAUCUAAUCUGCGAUUAGAGAAAGUUACUGAUUUCUGAAUAUAGAAACUUGAGUUUCACAUAAUGAGUUUAAUAGUCUUAAGGGAGGGGUUUUCAAGGUGAUUUCAGGGUGAUCAAAUGAAAUAAAAAUGGUGAUUAAAAUGCAGAUAUUUACUGCAAUAAUAAUAUAAGACUGUGAAAUUUUAUCAGUGGGAAUUAAACUCAGCAUAUAAAAUCAUUUGAAUAUCCAAAAAUUCAGAACCUGUUAUGUUAUAGCAAUUUCAAAAACUCCUUGAUGGCUCAUACGGUGUCCUUAUCUGACUGAAAUUUGGUGAAGUUCUAUGGGAUACUAUAGGCUCAAGAUUCAACGGUGGGAUUGAGUUUCUAACGAUUAAUUUUGAAGUAUUGUGCGUGUCUUUGAGGCAGUUUCAAAAAGUGGUACAAUGAAUCAAGACAAUUGUGCACAACCAACAGUAAAGAUCAUGAUCAUUUUUUCACUGCCGGUUAGACAUUUCUAAAUUUAGAAAGAUAUUAUUUAUUAGCUGAGAACAUAUUAUAUGUUAUAUAGUUUAGGUGACUUAGGUAUGCAAGCCGGUGGUUGUCUGAUCUAAUGUCUUCUGUUUUUAAUGUGAUAAAGAAACCAUUAUCUUAGUUACAUUUCGUGAUUAGUCUGUUUCUUUUUUUUGGAACAACUCUGUUUCUAAUAAUAACUAGAUUUUUCACCCGCACAUCCGUGCGGGUAGAUUUUCAUUUUAUAAAUAUAUAACGGAUACCAUCGCAAAACUUUAAAAGAUAUUUACAUUUUAGUGUUAUACAUUGUGUAAAUUUAUAAUGUUAUUGGUUAUGUUUCUUAUUCGAUAUUAUUAAUGUAUAAUGAUUUGUUUUAUAUAUUUUACUAUAUUAUUAAUUGUUAUUAUAUAUUAAUAUAUUUUCGAGUUUGAUAAAAUAAAUUCAUAGUAUGAAAUAAAAAAAUUGAGAAUCUCCUUCAUUUUUUCUAAUUUUUACAGACUGAAUACAAUACAUUUUAAAAUUUUAUUUAGUUAUACUAUAAAACUAAUAUUUUCUUAGCAUAGUUUAUAUUUCUAUGUUAUUUAUUUUAGUAUAUUGUGGAAUUUUAUAAGUAAAUACAUUAUAAUAAUACUAUAUUAUUAAUUAUGAAAUCAAUCGCUGCAUUAAUUUAAAAAUAUUUUAAAAUUUUAUUAAGAUUUUGUUAGGUGUUUUCAACAUAUUUUGUUAUAAGUAAAAAUAAAAUUUAAAUUUAAAGUUAAAAUUUAUUUUUUAAUAUCUAUAUAAUUUAUAAGAUUUUUUAGAAAUGUUAUAUAUUAAAUAGAUUAACUUAAAUAGUCAAAUAGAUGUAAUUGAUGAAAUAGACCUAGUAUGAAUUUUUAUGGUAUUUCUUUUAAUAAAGAAGAUAUAUAAUAUAAUUAUAAAAUUUGAAAAAUAGCAUACACUUUUAUUUUAUUUUGUUUUAUAAUAAAAUUUUAUUUAAAUUAAUGUAUAAUAGUGUAUAUUAUUAAUUACAAAAUUAAUCAAUGGUAUUAAUUUAAAUAAAAUAUUUUAAAUUUUUAGAAAGAUUUUGUUAGAUUUUUUCUCAACAUUUUGUUAUAACUAAAAAUAAAAUUUAAAUUUACAGUUAAAAUUAAUUUAUUAUUAGUAUCUUUAUAUAUUAAAUAGAUUAAUAUAAAUAAUUAAAUAAAUGUAAUUAAUGAAAUGAACCUAAUAAAGCUAGUAUGACUUUUUUAUGGUAGAUAAAAAUGGUACUUCUCUUUUAAUAGAGAAGAUUUAUAACUAGAAAAGGUUGGAAGGAUUAUAUAUUUAUAUUGGCAGAUACAGAGUAUUUUUUAUGUAAAUAAAAUAAUUAGUAUUCUUAAAAUGAUUUACUUAAUAUUAAUUUAUUUUAUUGAUAUAUGGUAUAAUAUAUAUCUUCAGAGUCCCAUUAAACAAAAAAAAACAAUGUUUGGCAUGUACGAGAAAGAUAGACCAUAGUUCAAGAAAAUACAAACCAACCAUUAUAAAUAGAAUUAUUAUGAAAUUCUAAGAUGUAUUACACUUUUAAUCAUCAUUUUCUCAUAUAGAUAAUUAAUAUACAUCACAAUUUCAAAAGAAAAAGUUCCAGAAAACUUUAAACAAACAUUGUAAAUACGAAAAAAAAAACUCACAUCAAAGCUAUGCGUGGUUUAACAUGGCAGAAGGAAAACCAAAUAAGCAAAAAAAAAAGUCUUCUAUUUAAUUUGUUAGUAGUAAUUUUUAUUGAAAUUUGGUUUAAUAAAUAAUAUAUUAAACUCACAGAAAAGUUGUUAGAUCACAGUGAUCCAAAUUACAGAAUAUUAUUUUAAAGGAAUAAAUAGAUAUGCAAAGUUAUAAAUUUUAAAAUUACGAUUAACACAUGUAAAAAUUUAAAACACAAACAAUUGAAUUCAAUACAAUAAAAUUACAUAAAUCAACCAAUUAAAAAAAUAAAAGUAAAAGAACAAUACAAAAUACAGACUGCGUGCUGUCAAAGAAUCUAGUAUAUAUAAUAGCAAAGCAAAAUUUUGUACCCGCUGAUGUCAUCUUUUUUUUAUAAGAAAAAAAAUAUAUCUAUCUAAGGGUGGAAUUUAUCUUGAGGGUAAAAUCUAAUGGUUACAAUUUUGUUUAAAAUGAAACUAUGGCGUCAUCUAUUCAAUCAUCGUCUUUGAUCCACAAAGUUAUAACUCCUCGCAGGCGACACGACACAACGCUUACAGAAAUCGUAUAACCGUCAUCAUCUCCCUUAAGAGUCGUGUCUUUUCACCAACUUAUUAAUAGAAUUGACUGCAUUAGAUUGCGUUUUUAGGUAGUUCCUUCUUCAGAUUCUCUAAUUGGCUUCUCAUCUCUCUCGACUUUUCUUUUCUGGUAAUCACUUCGGUGGACGUGGGAUCCAUAGACGGUUAAAUCGUUCUCCCAUACAUAUUUUUUUUAAAUGUAUCUUUCUACUCAGAAUCUAAGAAUGGAUUUCUACAUAAUCACCUUUGUCAACCAAUUGUUUGUUUCGGUCUUUCUCCAAUUCAAUAAGGUUUGUUUUCCAUAUCUGGUUUUGUUCUGUUUGAUUUCCAUAUCUGGUUGCUGUAUCUCUGUUUGAUUUCUGCCACUUUUAAUUUUUGUUAAUCUUCCUCCUUUUUUUUUUGAAAUACGUAUUAUAUUCAAAAAAAAUAAAAUACGUAUUUGUCUAGGAACAUAAAUCAAUGUCUAAUAUCUUGUUUGAUGUCCAGGAACAUAAAUCAAUCUUCCUCCUGUACGUGUUUGAUGUCUGUUUGAUGUCUUGUUUGAUUUCUGCCACUUUUAAUUUUUCUUUUCGCGGCGUGCUCCAGGAACAUAAAUCAAUCCAGUUGACGCUAUUUGAAUGUCUCUGUAAUCCAAUCUCUUUUUGGAUGGUUAGGAAUGCGUGGGAUGAGAUGGAGUGAAUUGCGUUUUAUUUUUUGGCCAACGACCAAUCCACUUGAACACUUACACCAGCAAUUAUUGUAGGUUCUAAUACCCAGUUGUAACCAAGAGCAACAGCAAAUUGUAAUAUACCUUUCUUCCGGGGCUUCCUGCAUAAGUUUGUUUUUCAUAUUCUCUUGGAGAUUUCAUUUAUUAGCGUCUGAUCCAGUUGGUCGUCAUUCUCGAAAAGCCGUAAACUAAUAUUCUCGCUCACUUGGGACAGUAAACUAAUCUUCUCUCUCACGUGGGACAAAUCACUAUCAUUCCUGGAAAGAGAAGAGCUAGGGCAGUCAGAUUUCGAGCACAACAAUUUAACAAAUCUUGCUUCAGGACAUUCAAUAGAACUGCAAGCAGUAGAGUCAUAAACUUUAUACUCAAAUUCACGCAAUCUGUUGGAAAUUGUUACAUAUUAGGGAACCCUUCCAGCUUCAUGCAUAGCAGCCACACACUGGAGAAUACCAUAGCUAUAACAUCUGCUGGAACUUCUGUCUUCCCAAACAUCUAAGACUACUCUGCAGUCUCAGCCGCCUUUCGAGUCUUUAAGAAUUUUCCAGUAACAAGAACCUAUAUUUUUUUGCAAAUGAAAAUAAGCACAAACCUAUCUUUUGAUUAUUCCCCAGACGGACAACCAAAUUACUAGUGCUGGCUUCACUUCACAACCUACAUAAGUCCAGUUUGGGGCAAAGCCAAUAAUGCUAAAGAGACUCACAACAUAUCCAUCCAAGUCCCUCCUAGACUUGUGACCAUUGGACCUAUCCUCACUCUUAACUUCUUCCCAGUAGCUGUUGAACUGGAAUGAGUAAAAGACUCGUUUGCAUCAGCAAUAACAUCAACAUCUCCAAGUUCUUUGCUAAUCCAACGAAUGAAACUGUCCAUUUUUCUAAACUUUCUUCACCCAAUGCAUCGUCUAAUAAAUGCUGUUUCAUUGUAGAUAGAUAUGGAGCUUUUUCACUUCAUCAUUUUCUUAUAAGAAUUUUUAUUUACAAUUUUACGCUCGUAUUCAUUUGUAGUUAUGAUCUAAGGGAUAUAAAGUACUCUUGCUUUAAAUGAUUUACGUCAUCAAAAAAAUUAGCUUUUCCAACUCUUCCCAGACAAGUUUCUUCUCAAACAACACAUUACAUGCGUUCUAGAGUAAGUGAGUAACAAACAUACAUUUUCAAAAUCUCAUAUAGGGAACCUUUUAAAACAGAAACUUAUAACAAAUUAGUCUCUCCGACACCCUCAUUUUUCUCUCACUAUUUUUUUUCUGUUUCUCCAACCAAGUAAUUGCUUAAUGUACUGUUUGUUACAAAAUUAUUAUGAUAAAUUCCUUAAUUAUAAUUGGUUAUAAAACUAAAAUACCAAAAUAAAGAAACAAGAUUAUGAACUCUACAACUCUACAGUUCUGCUUCACAUAAGUUACAAUUUAUUUAAAGUCUUUCUGAUUUUUCUGUCUAUUUAGUAAGUUUGUUGAAUAUCUACUUUUGGAGGGAAAAAAAAAAUCUACAACUUUUCAAAUUAUUUUGAUAAGUGUAGAUCAAUUGUUAAGGCAAUUCAAAAAUGGCAAUUCUCUUAAAUAGGUUUUUUUUAAGUUUUUGUCACAAAAAUAGCACUAAAAAAAGGACCAAAAUAGCCCAUUUUUAUUUUGAAAUUUUUAAUAUUUAUUUUUUAUUUUUUAAAAUUUGAAACUUUUUCCCCUAAAACCCCACCCUAGGGUUAACUAAUCUA